AUUGAACGCUGGCGGCAGGCCUAACACAUGCAAGUCGAGCGAGCGGCGGACGGGUGAGUAAUGUUUGGGAAACUGCUUGAUGGAGGGGGAUAACCACUGGAAAAGGUAGCUAAUACCGCAUACCAUCAGAUGUGCCCAUAUGGGAGUAGCUAGUAGGUGGGGUAAUGGCUCACCUAGGCGACGGUCCCUAGCUGGUCUGAGAGGGUGACCAGCCACACUGGGACUGAGACACGGUCCAGACUCCUACGGGAGGCAGCAGUGGGGAAUAUUGCACAAUGGUCGCAAGCCUGAUGCAGCCAUGCCGCGUGUGUGAAGAAGGCCUUCGGGUUGUAAAGCACUUUCAGCGGGGAGGCGUUACCCGCAGAAGAAGCACCGGCUAACUCCGUGCCAGCAGCCGCGGUAAUAC
rnacentral:rRNA from 1 species